rnacentral:lncRNA from 1 species
CCACGUAGGUUAUUUGACUGGUCAACACAUCCAUUUGACUGGUCACCAGAAUGGAAUACGGUGUUAUACAGUGAGUCGGCGAUCGCAUAAUUACCACGACCUGUAUAUAGUAACCGUAACGAGCAUAUUUUAAAGUCGAGUGUGUUUGGACUUCAAAUACAUUCGUAUUUAUCUCUUUUCAUUGUCCUAUGUGUGGGUCGAAGGCCCUCUAAUUUUUUCUUGUAACAAAAGGUUACAU